UGCGUAGGGUGCGAGCGUUAAUCGGAAUUACUGGGCGUAAAGCGUGCGCAGGCGGUUUUGUAAGCCAGAUGUGAAAUCCCCGGGCUUAACCUGGGAAUGGCAUUUGGGACUGCAAGGCUGGAGUGCGGCAGAGGAGACUGGAAUUCCUGGUGUAGCAGUGAAAUGCGUUAGAUAUCAGGAGGAAUACCGAUGGCGAAGGCAGGUCUCUGGGCUGACACUGACGCUCAUGCACGAAAGCGUGGGGAGCAAACAGG
rnacentral:rRNA from 1 species